AUCGUUAAAGGCACCGAAGCAUCGCCUGCCUUCAACGAACCUCCGCUAAUGCAGUGAUGAGCUUAAUGACGAUAGAAAGGAAAAGUUAAAAAACAAAAAACUACCAAUGACAAGCCAAGGACCAUGGCACAAGACUAUCUAAGCCAGGUUGUUCCAAAGAAGCCAUAAACAAAGACCUUCAGCAUUCAAACUUUUUCAAAUAAAACUGAUAAAUGUA